rnacentral:rRNA from 1 species
UCGAAACAAAGUAGCCAAUCCGGAAGGAUUAGCUAAA